AGGAGGCAGCAGUGGGGAAUAUUGGUAAUCUGCGAAAGCGGGAACCAGCAACGCCGCGUGUGCGAUGAAGGCCUUCGGGUCGUAAAGCACUUUUCGAUGGGAUGAGGAAGGACAGUACCAUCGGAAUAAGUCUCGGCUAACUACGUGCCAGCAGCCGCGGUAAAACGUAGGAGGCGAGCGUUAUCCGGAUUUACUGGGUGUAAAGCGCGUGCAGGCGGUUCUGUAAGUUGGAUGUGAAAGCUCCCGGCUCAACUGGGAGAGGUCGUUCAAUACUACAGGACUAGAGGAUGGUAGAGGGAGGUGGAAUUCCGGGUGUAGUGGUGAAAUGCGUAGAUAUCCGGAGGAACACCAGUGGCGAAAGCGGCCUCCUGGACCAAACCUGACGCUCAGAUGCGAAAGCUAGGGGAGUAAACGGGAUUAGAUACCCCGGUAGG
rnacentral:rRNA from 1 species